UCAGUACACUAGUAGUGUCCGUGAAUAUUGCGUUUAAAGCGUUCGUAGCCGGCUAAGCAAGUUUUCUGUGAAAUCUUUCGGCUCAACCGAAUAGGCUUGCAGAAAAUACUACUUGGCUCGAGAGUGGGGGAAGCUAAAGGUACUGUANGGGGAGCGGUAAAAUGCUGUAAUCCUUGCAGGACCACCAGUGGCGAAGGCGUUUAUCUAAAACACGUCUGACGGUGAGGGACGAAAGCUAUGGGAGCAAACGGGAUUAGAUACCCCGGUAGUCCUGGGCGUNAACGAUGUCCGUUUGGUGUUGCACACUCUACGUGGGUGUGCAGUGCCGUANCGUANGCGUAAACGGACCGCCUGGGGAGUAUGACUGCNAGGCUGAAACUCCNAGGAAUUGACGGGGGCUCGCACAAGCGGUGGAGUAUGUGGUUUUAUUCCAAAACAACGCGCAGAANCUUACCUGGGCUUGACAUGCUUGAAUUAACCAUCUGAAAAGAUGGUGACCCCCCCCAGGGAAGAACAACCCAGUGUUUUCAUGCUGUCCUCCA
rnacentral:rRNA from 1 species